AUUGAACGCUGGCGGCAUGCUUUACACAUGCCAGUCGAACGGUAACAGGCCUUCGGGUGCUGACGAGUGGCGAACGGGUGAGUAAUGCAUCGGAACGUACCCAGAGGUGGGGGAUAACGCAGCGAAAGCUGUGCUAAUACCGCAUGUGAUCUGAGGAUGAAAGCGGGGGACCGAGCAGCAAUGUUUUGCCUCGCGCCUUUGGAGCGGCCGAUGUCGGAUUAGCUAGUUGGUGGGGUAAAGGCCUACCAAGGCGACGAUCCGUAGCUGGUCUGAGAGGACGACCAGCCACACUGGGACUGAGACACGGCCCAGACUCCUACGGGAGGCAGCAGUGGGGAAUGUUGGACAAUGGGCGCAAGCCUGAUCCAGCAAUGCCGCGUGCGGGAAGAAGGCCUUCGGGUUGUAAACCGCUUUUGGCAGGAACGAAACGGUGUCCGCUAAUACAGGGCGCUAAUGACGGUACCUGCAGAAUAAGCACCGGCUAACUACGUG
rnacentral:rRNA from 1 species